GCAUAUCAAUAAGCGGAGGAAAAGAAACCAACAGGGAUUGCUCCAGUAACGGCGAGUGAAGCGGCAACAGCUCAGAUUUGGAAUCUGGCCCCCAGGGCCCGAGUUGUAAUCUGGAGAGGAUGCUUCUGGCGCGGCGCCUUCCGAGUUCCCUGGAACGGGACGCCGGAGAGGGUGAGAGCCCCGUACGGUUGGACGCCUAGCCUUUGUGAAGCUCCUUCGACGAGUCGAGUAGUUUGGGAAUGCUGCUCAAAAUGGGAGGUAAAUUUCUUCUAAAGCUAAAUACCGGCCAGAGACCGAUAGCGCACAAGUAGAGUGAUCGAAAGAUGAAAAGCACUUUGAAAAGAGGGUCAAACAGUACGUGAAAUUGUUGAAAGGGAAGCGCCCGUGGCCAGACUUGUGCCCCGCGGACCACCCGGCGCCCUUAGCGCCGGUGCACUCCGCGGGGCGCAGGCCAGCAUCGGUUUUCCUAGGGGGAUAAAGGCGGCGGGAACGUGGCUCCCUCGGGAGUGUUAUAGCCCGCCGCGCCAUGCCCCUGGGGGGACCGAGGACCGCGCUUCGGCAAGGAUGCUGGCGUAAUGGCCACCGGCGACCCGUCUUGAAACACGGACCAAGGAGUCAAGCAUUGGGGCGAGUGUCUGGGUGUUAAACCCGCACGCGAAAUGAAAGUAAACGCAGGUGAGAGCUUCGGCGCAUCAUCGACCGAUCCUGAUGUUCUCGGAUGGAUUUGAGUAAGAGCCUUACCGCUUGGACCCGAAAGAUGGUGAACUAUGCCUGUAUAGGGUGAAGCCAGAGGAAACUCUGGUGGAGGCUCGCAGCGGUUCUGACGUGCAAAUCGAUCGUCAAAUAUGGGCAUGGGGCGAAAGACUAAUCGAACCAUCUAGUAGCUGGUUACCGCCGAAG
rnacentral:rRNA from 1 species